CACAGACCUAAUGCACCGAAACGCAGCACAAAUAUUUCUCCAUUGUCGGAAUAGCCUCUGCACUGGAACUUUUUGAGAAGAGAGCCAUUAGAUUGUUGUC